rnacentral:rRNA from 1 species
CAGUCGCCGCGGUAAUACGAAGGGGGCUAGCGUUGUUCGGAAUUACUGGGCGUAAAGCGCACGUAGGCGGAUAUUUGAGUCAGGGGUGAAAUCCCAGAGCUCAACUCUGGAACUGCCUUUGAUACUGGGUAUCUUGAGUAUGGAAGAGGUGAGUGGAAUUCCGAGUGUAGAGGUGAAAUUCGUAGAUAUUCGGAGGAACACCAGUGGCGAAGGCGGCUCACUGGUCCAUUACUGACGCUGAGGUGCGAAAGCGUGGGGAGCAAACAGGAUUAGAUACCCCCGUAGUCCCUGUCUCUUAUAU